UGAAAACUGUAGACCAGCAAGUGAAGAGCAGAGACCAGCAGAUGUAGCCUAAGAAGGAACUCAACAGAGGUCAAGAAACACCACUUGAAGACCAAGGGCCGACAAAUGAAAACCGGAUUUUCCAAGUCACCUGAAAGCAAGUACGUCUGCCUGCUCGCUCUUGUUCCAGCGUGUGCUCCUUCAGAAUGGACUCUAGGUUUAUCCCCUCCCCAUAACCUUAUGACUCACAGAAUGCCUACACUCUCAAGUCCCACCUUCAUACUCCUGUCCCACAGAAUCACAUCUGUUCUGCAUUUAUCUACGGCGCAAUAGCACCCAUGGAUGCUGCUGGAUAGCUGAAUGGGCCGAAGUGCUAGCACCUACCAAGCAAAAGUUCUAUCAAGAAGGCGAUUAAUGACCUCUUCUCUGGCUGCCUUCUCAGAAAGUUGUUUCACUCCCAUGUGCUGACUGGGAAGAGAGAUGAUCCAAGACUCCCUCACAUUAAGAGCUCCCUCUGAGCCCUGAGCCCUGGAAGGUACCAAGUCAAACUCCCAGCUGCGAAUUCUCUUCCUGAUCCACAAGACCCAGCUGGGGUCCAAGCAGACCCAAGGCUUCUUCAAUGACCAUCCUCCCUUCCGUCACAAGAUCUCUGUGCAUUGACUUCACUGCUACCCUGAGCCACUGGAGGACCUCGUCCGAGCCUGGAUCUUGUAACAGCAUGGAGCCUAGCAUCUAGGAGAUACAGAAAUAAAGACUAAGGCAUCAGAGCACAAAGGCACUUAGAGGGAUUAAGCCUCUUGGAUUCAAUUGGAGCAGCUGGAAAUAGCUUGGUGUAGCCUGAAGCCUCUGCCUCCCAGCAAUCAGCCUCAAUCAACACCCACCUGGCCCUGCUGCCACUUAAUUCCACCUGGCAUCCUGGCUAGGAAUCUUAGAGCAGCCAGGUGUCGGUGCCAUCUGAAGAAUGCAGGAGAUGGGUCUACUCAGGCAACACCAGCAGCAAGUCACCUCCUGGCUCCCCAGUUCCAGUAGUAACAACGGUACCCCCUGAAGCUGCAGUCCAAGACAGAGCUUGAAGGCACCAGAAGACCACACAUGUCCAGGGAGUAGGCAUAUGGGUACUCUUCAGGCCCCGCCACUCCCCUCAGACUCUCUGACAACUAAUUCAUUGUCCUUUAGGGCUUCUUGUAACUGAAUGAGGAGGCCUCGUCAAUGACCAAAAAUAGAUAGAUUGAUAGAUAGAUAGAUAGAUAGAUAGAUAGAUAGAUAGACAUAGAAAUACAUUUAAUCACUGUGUCAGCAAGGGAGGCCUAGACAGGCCCUGAACAAAGGUGACACUAUAGGGGUAACUAGCAUGGACAGUGGUGAAGGGGUAAAUGGCAUGCCCAGUAGCAGAUGAGUAGCCGGCCUGUCUAUACCCACAGCAGGCCUCACUGCCCAACACAACCUGCUUAAAAGUCUAAGAAGCAUGCCCAUGAGCUCUCUAGUGCUCCUCACUCCUGGAUCCCUCCAUCUCUCCAGCCACACACUUCCAGUGUCCCCCAAUCUAAACUAAGCCUUCAACCUGAGCAAUGCUGUCCCACCCUUUAGAAGAGUCUGGGGCCAUUGUGAUCAGUCCCUGUCCUUCCAAAUCACCGUGGUAGCAGAAUGCGGGGUGCACAGUUAGGACCCAGGAGCCAGGUUGUCCAAGUCAGUGUCCACAACUGCUACAUGGCUAGCUAUGCGACCUUGGGGGAGAUAGUAAGCUCUCAGUGUCUAAUUUCCUCACCAGCGAAAUGAGCUUGCAAUGGCCCCGGGGAUGCACAGGGCUCCCUGAGCAAACACUACAAGGCACUUAGAACUGGGCCUGCCUCAGAGAGCAUUGCCCUGUUGCUUCAGCUACCCUUAGGACCCAGAGUGGCCUCGGAAGCAUGACCAGAGCAGACCCUGUCACUCCCAGCCUGGAAGUUUAAUUCCUAAGCAGGUUUGUCACUGCCUAGAGCUACAGCACAGGAUUUUCUAAAUGGAUACCAAACUCCUGACCUGCAGCUGCUGGGCCACCGGAUUCUCAUGUGUUCCCUUCACCACAGGGACUCCCGAGAGGCUGUGAGCUACCCUCUACCCAUGCACUGUUCUUUUUAAGCACAUGCCCCUCUCCCAAACCCUCCAUUAGCUGUGGGGUGGAGCAGUACAAGGGGACAUGGGUCCUGGGCAUGACCAGGCAAACAGAACACAGACCCUGGCACCUGCUACAGUCUUACAGCCUUCUCCACAGCUCCUCUCGGGGAGAUAUAGUGUUCAGGAUUUAUUAAAGCCGCUGGAGAUCAAAAUAGCAAAGCAACCACACUAGCUAGCUACAGAAGCUAGGAGGUGGGGGCACACACCUGUAAUCCCAGGACUCAAAUGCCCACUAAGUCCCAGGCAUGUCACCUCCAAAGCUUUGCCUGAUGCCCUCAACCAGGGUCGUGGCAUCUUGCCAGGCUUCUGUUCCAUGGGAAAGUGGCAACAAUAACCUACCCAACGUUUCUCCAAAGAAUCCGCCACCAUGGGAGGCAGCAAGGGGUGCGAAGCUAUUUUUAGCUCUCUACAGGUUAAUUAGAUACUCUAGCACUCCCUACUGUAUUUGUAGUCCCAAUAUCUUCAAUAACUCCCCCACAGAAACCUUCAUUGGCCAGUGUA